CCCCCAGGAACCCCCCGGGAACCCCCCAACCCCCAGCACCACCUCUGCGCCGUCUGCGGCCUCCCCUCCCACUACACCUGCGUGAGCUGCGAGGCGCGUUACUGCUGCGUGCGCUGCCUGGGCACCCACCAGGAGACCCGGUGCCUGAAGUGGACGGUUUAGCUCUGCCCAGGAUCCUGGAUCUUCCCCCCGAUCCUGCUGUUUGCGGGGGCCCUGGAGCUGCCUGUCAAUAAACACUCCUUCCCCGAGA